rnacentral:rRNA from 1 species
AUGUAUAACCUUCCUCCUUGGAUGUGCAUGAAGCGGAAGUUCAUUAUGAUGGCAGUUCUCAUCCAAGGCCCUAAGCAACCCGGCAACGACAUUGAUGUGUACCUAAGGCCAUUAGUUGAAGAACUUUUACAGCUGUGGAAUGAAAACGGUGUACGUACGUGGGACGAGGACAGACAGGAGGAAUUUAACCUUAAGACGUUGCUGUUCGUGACCAUCAAAGAUUGGCCCGCUCUCAGUAACCUUUCAGGACAGACAAACAAAGGAUACCACGCAUGCACGCACUGUUUAGAUGACACUGAAAGUAUAUACCUGGACAAAUACAGGAAGAAUGUGUACCUGGGCCAUCGUCAAUUUCUUCCGACCACCAUCAAUGUCGAAAGAAAGGCAAGCAUUUCAAAGGCGAUGCAGAUCACCGGAAGAAGCCCGCCAUGCGCAUCGGUGAUCACGUGCUUGCUAUGGUCAAUGAUUUACACUACGUAA